UUGGCUCCCACUGCCUUCAGCAGAAGCAAAGCUGGACCAAAGCAGCUCUCAGUGCAAGACGGACUCGGGAUUCAGCUUUAUCUCCUAAUGGGUCCGUUCCGUUGCCUCUUCGUGAGCCAAAUUUUGGAGCUCUGACUCAGCCUGAACUUUCAGUGGCUUUUGCACCUGGAGAUUUAAAUAUCUGUCUGCAAGGGAGGUGAACACCAAAUGGCACCCCUACCUGCAGCUCCUGAAGAUGUUACCACCCCUUUUACCCCUCCAGCUGUUUAUUAUUUCCCUCCUGCUGCUGCCUAGCGCCUCCGUGGUGAGUCAGAAGAACGGGACAUGGAUGCUCCCAUCUCAGCCACUUCAGUACAAAGUCUGGCAGUGGCUUCCUUCCAGCUGCUGGGGAAAGAAAGGGGGUUGAGGCAAAGCUUCCAGUCUUUGCCCAGGAGUCACAGAGGAGAAUCUGAGAGCUGUUCCACCAGUGCUGCGCCAGCGGUAGGAGCCUCUGGCACAAGGGAGCAGAUGAACAAGCUGCCAGGGGUAGCAGUGGUGGUGAUAACAUCUGGACCCACCUGAGGAGAGCGCAUCUCCUGAUGCUGGAACCGGAGCCAAUCUCCAGGUGCCCAGGCUGUGGAGUCUUGGAGGCAGCGAUUUAAAGGCAGAUAAAUAGAAGUCCAGCCUGCAGACGAGGGAAGCCGCCCCUCAUUAGGGCUGUCCUGACUUAUCCAGGAUUUGGGCUGUGAGGAAGGGGCACCUGAAAACCUCUUUUUAGCCAAACGAGUGGUGGUUCGCACUUGCCGGCUGUCGUGGCUGUAAAAGCAGGCUGGGAUUGUUGUUUGGAAAUUGCUGAUCUGAAUUUCUCCUGAGCAAAAACGUGCCAAGGCAUCGAUGCCAGGAUAACUGCUGCUGUCCCCUCUCCUCUGUCCUCCCCACCUCUUGUCAAAGAAAGAUC